rnacentral:rRNA from 1 species
GAUGAACGCUGUCUACAGGCUUAACACAUGCAAGUCGAGGGGAAACGCCGGGGAAGCUUGCUUCCCCGGGCGUCGACCGGCGCACGGGUGAGUAACGCGUAUCCAACCUGCCUCUGACUGAGGGAUAACCCGUCGAAAGUCGGCCUAAUACCUCAUGGCAUCGUCUGCGGGCAUCCAACGACGAUUAAAGAUUUCAUCGGUCAGGGAUGGGGAUGCGUCUGAUUAGCUUGUUGGCGGGGUAACGGCCCACCAAGGCUACGAUCAGUAGGGGUUCUGAGAGGAAGGUCCCCCACAUUGGAACUGAGACACGGUCCAAACUCCUACGGGAGGCAGCAGUGAGGAAUAGUGGUCAAUGGGCGGGAGCCUGAACCAGCCAAGUAGCGUGCAGGAUGACGGCCCUAUGGGUUGUAAACUGCUUUUAUGCGGGGAUAAAGUGAGGGACGUGUCCUUCAUUGCAGGUACCGCAUGAAUAAGGACCGGCUAAUUCCGUG